UACAGUUUACAAAAACACUAAUAUCAUUAUUUCAUUAUAUUGCUUAUAUACAGUACAGUCAGGAGAUAUGGGCAAAAUCUGAGAACUGUGUUAAUUGACCAGAACAGAAAACACUCCCAUCCAGUUUUCUAGAAAUGGAUUUAGUUCAGUCUCAGACUAAAAGGAGUCCAACACUAGGCUCGUUCUAUAGAAGUGAAACUGAGUCUGUGUAGUGUUGGGUUAAUGAAAGGUAAUGGUUGGUAGGUAAUGAAACAUCAGGCUAACAAUACAAACAGUUUUCAUCUUAGAUCAUCUUUGAAAAUCUGGAAGACAACAAAGUAAAAUCCUCCCAUAAACCUGCAGCUCUUUCAGGUAAACAUACUGAGGUUCUGAUUCAAAAUGUCAAAUAUCAGUUUUAUCCAGUUCUGGGUUUUGGGGGCUCGAGUCUUUCCUGGCUAUCAUUAGGCAAAAGGCCCGAUGUAACCUGGAGGUCACCAGACUGUAAGUGGAGAUAAAUUCUCUGUGCAUCAGAAACAUGUAAAUAAAGUCUGGUGUUCACCUCUCAGAAUAAAACUCAUUAUUACCUAAUUCCACUUCCUGUCUUUAAAACGUGCCCAUUUACAUCAUUAACUGAAUUAUGUUUUUACUGUUUUUGUAACUUUGGAUUUUCUUUGUAGGCCAAGGAGGAAUCGUCAUAGCUGUAUUCUUCUGUAUCUCUGUGUUCACGUGGGGAUUUGUGUUCUAUCAGAAUUGUAGAGAACACAGGAGGACUUCCUCACGCCAAACCAGAAGUUCUUGAUGAAGACUUUCUCAGAAAAUGGACCCUGUUCAGGUUCAUGACUGUUAGCAUCUCAUCUCAGACUGUGAAUAGAAACUCUUCAUAAGAUCCUGAUGAUAAACCAGAUUUGAAGUUUCCCGUUUUGAUGCUGUUCAUGAGACGGAGCAGGAGAGUGACAGUCAGAGUAGUGCCUGCGUCCUGGACAGAAGCCCGAAGCCAUAUUAAUCACUACUGUCAAUAAAAGCAC